UACGCUGGCGGCACGCCUAACACAUGCAAGUCGAACGAAGUAGCAAUACUUAGUGGCAGACGGGUGAGUAACAUGUAGGUAUCUGCCCUUUGGCCUGGAAUAACACGAGGAAACUUGUGCUAAUACCGGAUAAGUCUUUACGGAGAAAGCUUUAUGCACCAUUGGAUGAGCCUGCACUUGAUUAGUUUGUUGGUAGGGUAAUGGCCUACCAAGACUAUGAUCAAUAGCUGAUUUGAGAGGAUGAUCAGCCACAUUGGGACUGAGACACGGCCCAAACUCCUACGGGAGGCAGCAGUGGGGAAUCUUGCACAAUGGAGGAAACUCUGAUGCAGCGAUGCCGCGUGAGUGAAGAAGGCCUUUGGGUUGUAAAGCUCUUUCGUCGGGGAAGAAAAUGACUGUACCCGAAUAAGAAGGUCCGGC
rnacentral:rRNA from 1 species